CGCAUCUUGCGCUCCCUGGUAUUCCGAGGAGCAUGCCUGUUUGAGUGUCAGUAAAUUCUCAACCCCUCCAAUUAUGUGUUGGAUAUUGGGCUUGGAUUUGGAGGUUUUGUUGGCCUUGUUUUAUAGGUUGACUCCUCUGAAAAACAUUAGCGGAACUGUUUGCAAUCCGUCACAGGUGUGAUAAUUAUCUACACCACUGGUUUGCUCUCUUAUGUUUAGCUGCUAACUGUCUGCAAAGACAAUACAUAACUGAUUAUUUGACCUCAAAUCAGGUAGGACUACCCGCUGAACUUAA
rnacentral:misc_RNA from 1 species